rnacentral:rRNA from 1 species
CCUACGGGUGGCAGCAGUGAGGAAUAUUGGUCAAUGGCCGUAAGGCUGAACCAGCCAAGUCGCGUGAAGGAAGAAGGAUCUAUGGUUUGUAAACUUCUUUUCUAGGGGAAUAAAGGUAUCCACGUGUGGAUGUUUGCAUGUACCCUAUGAAUAAGCAUCGGCUAACUCCGUGCCAGCAGCCGCGGUAAUACGGAGGAUGCGAUCGUUAUCCGGAUUUAUUGGGUUUAAUGGGUGCGUAGGUUGUUUUUUAAGCCAGCGGUGAAAGUUUGUGGCACAACCAUAAAAUUGCCGUUGAAACUGGAAGACUUGAGUGUGUUUGAGGUAGGCGGAAUGAGUGGUGUAGCGGUGGAAUGCAUAGAUAUCAUGCAGAACUCCGAUUGCGAAGGCAGCAUACCGGCGCCCAACUGACGCUGAAGCACGAAAGCGUGGGUAUCGAACAGGAUUAGAUACCCCGGUAGUC